rnacentral:misc_RNA from 1 species
ACCUUUAUACACAUAAAUAUAAAACCCAAAUAAAACUAAAUAUUAUAAUUCUCACUUAAAAAAUUAAACAAAAAACCUAAAUAAAAACUUUAUUCACUCAUCUCUCAAAUAUUUUUUUAUUUCUAUAAACCAAUUAUUCUUUUAAAUAUCACAUAUUUAACAAUAAACGAUUACUCAAAAACCCUAUUAUAAUAAAAUUUCCAUAUUUAAAAUAUAUAAAAA